UCACCUGCACGCAGGACAUCGGCAGCGCGCGGACCAUCACCUGCGCAGCAGGCAUCGGCAGCAGCGUGCGGACCAUCACCUGCGCAGCAAGCAUCAGCAGCGCGCAGAUCUUCACUUGCGCGCCACACAUAGUCAGCGCGCAGAAAGUCACCUGCGCGCCAGACAUCGUUGGCGACCACACCACCAGCUGGGCACCAAACUACAGCUCCUGCGCGCAGGCCAUCACCAGCUCGUCAUCUCUCCAGGAGCUCUGGGACUGUGACCGAAGAGCCUCAAGACACUACCCUUGUGGACCCAUCACCCGAACUGUUUGAGUCAACAGGGUUAACGGACGAGACUUUUCUAGGGUUUGAAGACAGCCGUGCAGACUAUCCAGCCAGACCCUUGAAAAGUCUCCAGAAUUGAGGACAAGUGAAGCUCCUGGAGCAGCGGCACCAUCGGAUGGAGAAGAGGUGCCACGGACCAGCAGCAGACUUGCGUCGGGGAUUGGUCCCUACUUCAGGCCGGAUCUCUUGCAGGAUGAGUCGGACGAUGACGAGGUGGAAGUGCAGCAGCCCGCUGUUUCUACAUCCCUGUCUUCACAAAUGCAAUUGGUGGCAGACGUACAGCAAGGGCAGGAUCCCUUAAAUGUACAGAGGGUACACACCCUGGCAGCCGAGAUGACUUCCCACCAGGAUAAUUACACGCUUGUCGUUGGAACCAGACUGGACGCCAUUGAGAAGACAAUGGAUAAGAUGGCAAACGGUUUGUUUGACAUGCAAAAGGCUCUUGCCGACAGCAUGGCAGAAACGUAAAAGACCAGACGAGAAGAUCACAGGGAGACUAUGGACAUCCCUCACGUUCUGGCCACAUCCAUCAACCGGCUGGUGGAUAACACAUCAUGCCUGGCACACAGCGUUGACAACAUGUCGGAGAGCCAACGACAUUCGGCAGCCAGCCACCAGAUCAUCGCAACAACGCUACAGAUGAUCUUUGAUAAGCUCCCAGAGCCAGCUCAACAACACGCUGGUGACCACCACAUCUGCCACCACAAGCCACACUGAUGCCUCCUGCCUUUGCUCCACCACAAUCCUGGUAUGGACGGUCACAGCUGUACCAAGGAUAUACAGGGAUGUACCCCUCCUUCCAGAUGCCUCCACCACCGGCCGCAUCGUCUACACCAGCACGGCCACCGAUGCCACCUCAACGCACCCCACAGCCACCCAGGGCAUCAACGCCACAUAAGGAGGAAGAAGAGGAUCCGGACGGUCAACAACCACCAUAAGCCCGGUCGUAUUGUUUUAUUAUUUACUAUUUAUGUUUUUCAUGUUUCCCUUUCUCCCCCUUCCCAUUAGUUUUUUUUUUCUUACUAUUGUUUUAAAUUUUGUGUUGGGCUCCCCAACCGGAUACUACCAAGGAGCUAUGUCUAGGCAUACAUGCGCGGGCAUGUAUGCGGGCAUGUGUGGUAACUGAUGAAAGCUCCUUGUGGUUACAUAUAUGAUGGGCCAAAGAGCUAUUCUGAUACCACUUUUUUUUUUAUACCAAACAAAUCACUUUUGAUUUGGUGUAAAUUAGGCUUUCACUGUAGUGUGAAUUUACUAUUCACUAGUGUUUGUUUUUUGCUUCUUCAUAGGAUUGGCUGAAAACUGGAAGUUGAUGGCGUAG